GGCAGCUNGCUGGACUGUAACUGACGCUGAGGCACGAAAGCGUGGGGAUCAAACAGGAUUAGAUACCCUGGUAGNCCACGCNGUAAACGAUGAAUGCUAGCUGUUAGCGAUAUACUGUUAGCGGCACAGAGAAAUCGUUAAGCAUUCCACCUGGGGAGUACGCCGGCAACGGUGAAACUCAAAGGAAUUGACGGGGGNCCGCACAAGCGGAGGAACAUGUGGUUUAAUUCGAUGAUACGCGAGGAACCUUACCUGGGCUUAAAUUGCAGUGGAAUAACGUGGAAACAUGUUAGCCUUCGGGCCGCUGUGAAGGUGCUGCAUGGUUGUCGUCAGCUCGUGCCGUGAGGUGUCGGCUUAAGUGCCAUAACGAGCGCAACCCUCAUCGAUAGUUACUAACAGGUUAAGCUGAGGACUCUAUCGAGACUGCCGACGUAAGUCGUGGGGAAGGUGGGGAUGACGUCAAAUCAGCACGGCCCUUACGUCCAGGGCUACACACGUGUUACAAUGGGGGGUACAAAGGGCAGCUACCUGGCGACAGGAUGCUAAUCUCAAAAACCUCUCUCAGUUCGGAUUGGAGUCUGCAACCCGACUCCAUGAAGCUGGAUUCGCUAGUAAUCGCGCAUCAGCCACGGCGCGGUGAAUACGUUCCCGGGCCUUGUACACACCGCCCGUCAAGCCAUGGGAGCCGGGGGGACCUGAAGUAUGCAACCGUAAGGAGCGUCCUAGGGUAAAACUGGUGACUGGGGCU
rnacentral:rRNA from 1 species